rnacentral:rRNA from 1 species
ACGAACGCUGGCGGCGUGCUUAACACAUGCAAGUCGAACGGAAAGGCCCUGCUUUUGUGGGGUGCUCGAGUGGCGAACGGGUGAGUAACACGUGAGUAACCUGCCCUUGACUUUGGGAUAACUUCAGGAAACUGGGGCUAAUACCGGAUAGGAGCUCCUGCUGCAUGGUGGGGGUUGGAAAGAUUCGGCGGUUGGGGAUGGACUCGCGGCUUAUCAGCCUGUUGGCGGGGUAGUGGCUUACCAAGGCUUUGACGGGUAGCCGGCCUGAGAGGGUGACCGGCCACAUUGGGACUGAGAUACGGCCCAGACUCCUACGGGAGGCAGCAGUGGGGAAUAUUGCACAAUGGGCGGAAGCCUGAUGCAGCAACGCCGCGUGCGGGAUGACGGCCUUCGGGUUGUAAACCGCUUUCGCCUGUGACGAAGCGUGAGUGACGGUAAUGGGUAAAGAAGCACCGGCUAACUACGU